GCGUCGGUGGUAUAAUGUUCAGCAUAGCUGCCUUCCAAGCAGUUGAUCCGGGUUCGAUUCCCGGCCGACGCA
rnacentral:tRNA from 1 species